AAAAAAGAAAAAAAAAAAAGUAGAGAUUGCAUUAGUUCCAUAUCUCCGCAGAGUUCUCUGGUAGAUUAAAUGUUCUCUGUGCACUAGGCCAAGGAAGUUCCUGUUACCUUUGAAAAUCAUUGUGUUUGCUCUGAUUGUCUACAUUAGCUCAUAUCAGUCUUUUGAACACUGGUUCAAAUCUGGGUGUUGGGUUAGGAUCUGAUGAGUAGAGAAUAGUGGAAAGUUGAUAUAGGAAGGUAUACUGGUUUCUGGUGUGAUUCUUUAGCUACAUUUAUUCCUUGUCUUAUGUCAUUUCACUGGAUCAUGUAACUGUCCUGGCUUUCAGAAAUUAUAUUAGAUGCCCAGCCUUUCUCAUUCAGAGAUGCCUGUAUUAUUAUGUUAUUUCGAUUGCCUACCAAAAAAAAAAAAAAAAGAAAAGGUUUGUUUUUAGUUCUCUGCCUCUGCAAGUCUUUGUGAUCACAUUUGUUAAAUUGAAUCUGAGAUUCAAAUAUUUCAUUUAAUAUUUUCUGGGUUUUGAUAAUGGGAUAUUCUGUAAGAUAAAGCAAGUAAUCCUAGAGUGAUUUACUUUAUGUUUAGCCAUCCACCAUUUUCCUAUUUCUCUACUCCUCCCAUUCUCCAUUUUUAAAAGGAAAUUAACAAAUGUCUUCCUUUAUCCCUGCCUCAGAUAAUUUUUCCCUGAACUCAUCUUGUCAGCAGAAACAUUUAAUGUGAAAUAAUUCUGUAUUUCUGAGACAAGAUCAACACAGUAGUUCUUUACAUUGAGCUGAGGUGAAUGUAUACUUAAAAAUACUCUAUUUUCUUUUUAUAUGAACUUAAAAUUUUUAAAAUCAUAUAUGGGACUCCCCAAUGUGAAAAUAUUAGUCUGGACAUUCUCUUGCCAUCAGGUGCUAUUUCUACCUUAGCUGUGAGUUAGACUAAAUCCAAAUUUCGUAUCAUUCAUCUUUUUAUAAUAUUUAACUUCCCUAGAAUCACCCCAUUUCAUGUCUUUAACCCCAACUUCCAACAACUUUUCUGCUUUUAUUUUCAAAUGUCAAAUUGUAUUUUUGUGUUUUAUUUUCUCAUUGAAGUGUAAAAGUAUCACAUAUAUGAAGGAAUGGCUGGUUUAGACAUUUACUUUGGCAUAGUAAAGAUUGAUAUUGAUACCACCCACCAUCCUUUCCUCUAGCCCCAGAAAGAAAAGUUUGACAACUCAAAAACGAUUAAAUUAUCUUAUCUUGUUAUUUAAUAGAACAAUGGAAGCUGUUUCGUCAAAAUUAAAAUACUUUACCAAAAAAAUACUUUUUUGUAUUUUAAUCUGAUAGUGAAUUUGGGGAUUAUUUAUGUAAAUGUAUCAUAAUUAAUAGUAAUUAUGAGUUAUUUCACUCUCUGUAAUUUGUGAUACCCAAGAUUCAUAUUUAUUUAAUGUGAGGUGUUUUUUGAGGCUUUUUUGUUUUAUCUUGUUUUCUUAACUUUUUACAGUGUUGUUAGAUUAUCGCGGUCAUCUCGGCAUGUGGAUCGCUCCUCCUGUAGAUCAGCUGUUCUCUCUUAGAGUCAGGACAAGGAUCUUUUAGAAUAGGUAUGUUAACUUCUCAUCCUAACCCUAUCAAUAUAUCAGAGGCUUUAUGAAGGAGACUCUACAGAUAACCACAAAUCUUAUCAAGAAAAUUCUCCUUAAAAAAAGUUAUCCUUUAUUUUGUUGUUAAAUUUCCCAGUUUUUAAAAGUGUUUUAUCAAAAUGACUUCAUAAUUGAAGCAAAUACCUUUUGGAAGUAUAUAUGUUACAUAAGACUUUCACUAAAUCUGUGCGUAAAGCUUUUAUAAUCUGAGAUAUUGUUAUGUAUUAGGUUUGUGCAAACCUAAUAUAAAAGGGUUCAUCUGUAAGUAUCAUUUAGAGGCAAAAUAAUUUCCCCCUCACAUCUAAUGUGGACUCAAAUUUUGGCAACUGGAAUGUUAUCCUCUUGGUAGGCAUUCUAAAUUAAUGAAUACUGCUAUGUGGUGUAGUAAACAAAUUUGCCAUAAAAUGCCAUUUAAGGAUUUUCUUUUUACCUUUAUUUCAUUAUAAAAGUAUAUGAGUUGAAGAUCAUAUAAAAAAUAUGAAACUCCUACACAGGAAAUCCCCAAUUUUGUGAUUUAAUAGGUUGUAAAAAGAGUUGUUCCAAAUUCAGACUACAUCUCAUCAUAUAAAUAAUAUUAUGAAUAAUAAGGGUAAAAGAUUAGCCAACAAAAGCUAAUCUAGUACACCCCAUAGAGGUACUCCAGGUGUCUUGGUUUUGGAUAAAUUUUUAUAGUGGAGAAAGGUUACUUUGAUCUCUCAAUAAUUGCUUGGUACACUUCUUCCUAGGCAAUAUGCUCAUGAUACCCUCUUCAUGUGACCUAUUCCUCAAAUGCUGCAUUCUCCAAAACUUCCUUACCUGCCUUCUAUCCCCUAGUCAUUCUUAUCAAUACUUCCAAAAUAUAACCUAUCUCAAGUGUUAGAAAUUUGCUUUAACUAAUUUAUAUUAAAGUGUUAGUGACUAUAGCCCUUUUAUCUCUCUUAAAGAGAAAUCUGCAUUAAAAGCAAACACAUUGCUGUUAGCUCAAAUUAAUGUCAGUGAGUAGAAUCUUAAGCUUUAAAACAAAAGUGGAAAUAAUUUAAAUUAGUGUUGAUGGGACUAUUUUGAGGCAAGAGAUACCAUUAAGUGACCUAGCUUGGAAAUCUGCCCCCUUUGCCCAAACCCAUGUGAUGUCUGAAACUACUGUAUAUUUUCAAUGACCUUGAGAAAGGGAGCUAGUCAUUUGUAUUUAUGGGCCUUAUGAAGUCAGGGCCUGCUGAUCCUGUUUUUUAAGUUCAAGCGCAAUGCCUGAAGCAUCCUAGAUCUCCUUCACCCUCAUUCUACCUGACAGACAGCUAGGUCUGUCUUCCAGCUCUUUCUCAUUGAUACUACCUUUACAUAUGAAUACUAUCCAUGCUUGUUAAAAAAAAAAAAAGUCUUUCCCCAUUUUACUGUUACAAUUUUUCAAGAGCUAUAAAGGUAGAAAAAGUAUUCCUUUUCAUUAUUCUAAAAAAUAUGUCAUUUUUAAAUAGCUGGCACUUAGCAGUUUAGUUUUCCAAACUUUAUUCUGAAUCAAAUUGCUGAGGUGAUUCUAAAUGUCUAAUGUUGAUUUAUCAUAUAAACAUCUAAUUAGAAAGUGUUUAUGCUAAAGACUUGUAUUUUGUGGCAUUAGUUCUUCAUGUUUCUUUUUUAUAUGUUUAUUAAAAUUGUUCACUUCCAAAUGAGUGGAAAAGUUGCUGUUGUUGGGAUGUACAGGGCAAGUGCACUUGGUUAGAGCAUGAACUGGGAAUUUCACAUUCUCUGAUGUGCUUUGCACUCUGCUCUUGUAGAUUUAUUUUGUUUACAGUAGACUGAUGUCAGUUUUUGUAAAUGUUUUUUCUUAGCACUUUAACUGUGAGUGUACAAACUGAUUUUAAAUGUAGUGGUUGUAUAUUUUGGUUAUAAAUUGGAGAUUUUUAAUAAAAUUAAAUAAUUCUCUU
rnacentral:lncRNA from 1 species